rnacentral:rRNA from 1 species
AGUGAACGCUGGCGGCGUGCCUAAUACAUGCAAGUCGAACGGAGUGGCGCCCGGGUGAGUAAUGUAUAUCUAAUCUGCCCUACACUAGAGGACAACAGUUUGAAACGACUGCUAAUACUCUAUAGUUUAGGAUGAGGCUAUUUUGUAUCAGCUAGUUGGUGAGGUAAUUGCUCACCAAGGCUAUGACGCAUAACUGGUCUGAGAGGAUGAUCAGUCACACUGGAACUGAUAGACGGGACAGACACCUACGGGAGGGAGCAGUAGGGAAUAUUGAUCAAUGGGGGAAACACUGAAGCAGCAACGCGGCGUGGAGGAUGACACUUUUCGGAGCGUAAACUCCUUUUGGUAGGGAAGCGGUACCUAACGAAUAAGCACCGGCUAACUCCGUGCCAGCAGCCGCGGUAAUUC